rnacentral:misc_RNA from 1 species
AACGCACGAGACCUGCGGACCUGCGGAAGGAUCAUUACCGAGGAUGGGGGUAUGUGGGGCGGCGAGGCCGGAGGGCGAGGCCGAAAGGCGAUGCCGAAAGGCGAUGCCGAAAGGCGAUGCCGAAAGGCGAUGCCGGAGGGCGCAGCCAGCCACGUACACACUCGUGCUUGCUGGGGAGGCGUGGCUGGGAGUGGGGGAUUCUGGCGGCUCACGUGGCAGCACUGCCUGUGGGACACUGGA